rnacentral:rRNA from 1 species
GACGAACGCUGGCGGCGUGCCUAAUACAUGCAAGUAGAACGCUGAAGGAGGAGCUUGCUUCUCCGGAUGAGUUGCGAACGGGUGAGUAACGCGUAGGUAACCUGCCUGGUAGCGGGGGAUAACUAUUGGAAACGAUAGCUAAUACCGCAUAACAGUAGAUGUUGCAUGACAUUUGCUUAAAAGGUGCAAUUGCAUCACUACCAGAUGGACCUGCGUUGUAUUAGCUAGUUGGUGAGGUAACGGCUCACCAAGGCGACGAUACAUAGCCGACCUGAGAGGGUGAUCGGCCACACUGGGACUGAGACACGGCCCAGACUCCUACGGGAGGCAGCAGUAGGGAAUCUUCGGCAAUGGACGGAAGUCUGGCCGAGCAACGCCGCGUGAGUGAAGAAGGUUUUCGGAUCGUAAAGCUCUGUUGUAAGAGAAGAACGAGUGUGAGAGUGGAAAGUUCACACUGUGACGGUAUCUUACCAGAAAGGGACGGCUAACUACGUG